AGCAGUAGCCGCGGUAAUACGUAUGUCACAAGCGUUAUCCGGAUUUAUUGGGCGUAAAGCGCGUCUAGGUGGUUAUGUAAGUCAGAUGUGAAAAUGCAGGGCUCAACUCUGUAUUGCGUUGGAAACUGUGUAACUAGAGUACUGGAGAGGUAAGCGGAACUACGAGUGUAGAGGUGAAAUUCGUAGAUAUUUGUAGGAAUGUCGAUGGGGAAGCCAGCUUACUGGACAGAUACUGACGCUAAAGCGCGAAAGCGUGGGUAGCAAACAGGAUUAGAUACCCCAGUAGUCCCUGUCUCUUAUACA
rnacentral:rRNA from 1 species